AUGACCAUAUCAUGUUGAAACACCUGUUCUUGUCUGAUCACCAAAGUUAAACAAUGUUGAGUCUGGUCAGUACUCUAUGAGUGACUACUGGGGAAUACCAGGUACUGUAAG